UUUUCUUUUUUCUUUUUUUUUUGGCUUUAUAUAUCUCAGUGAGUUCUUUCACAACACAUCUGAAGUUUGAAAGUAUUUUUAAGCUUAUAUAUUAUUAGCCACCACACUGUCAAUGUCCAAAGUUACAAAACUUUCAAUAUUACUUCUAAACACUCUUCAUACAUACAGGCUCUAUGUACAAAGGUUAACAGUGAAUGAGCCGUUUCACCGAAUGAGUAUCCGUUGAGCAUAAAUCAACCCCAUCAAAUAAAACCAGCUCAUCCAUAUCGACAAUCAUAAUCAAAUAAGAUCUGCCAUAUGCUUAAAUAUUUACCACCGGCAUAUCCCAGGAGCCUCCAUUCUGCUUAAAGCAAGUACUUCCUCAUACUUUGAACCAUAUACAAAGCCCCAAAGCUCAACUUGUUUGACUUCAAAGUCUUCAGAGUUUGCAAGACACGGAUUCCCAUAAGUCUCUGAGACUGAGCUUGAUCCAUUUAAUCUAUGACGGAAAUUAACAAUAUCAAAAACCAGUAUAAUCUGAAUGGGUCACCUUCACUAAAUUAGAUUCUUGGAAGUGAAUAUGCAAAUUCAGAUCACUCAAAUGGUUGUAAAACAAGUGUAUAAACAAUAGAGAAGAAAGUAUGGGCUCACAGAUCUUCAUCCAAAUAGAGUGCAAAGUGGCCACCCCCACCAAUUGCCAGAAAAUCAGUAGAGCACAAAGUGAAAUAGCGAUUUGCACCUGUUUUAAUACUGCCAUUAGUGAACUGCUAAAACAAAAGAUGCUAAACUAGAUGUUCAACACUUCAAUUCAUACUUGGCAUCCUUUUGGGGAAACACCUGAGGCAGGCCACAUGUGCUUGUACGUGGCACACCUUUUAUUGUUUCUGUUCUUCAAUUAAGUUUCCACAUAUUUUAGAUAUCCAUAAAUGUCAUAGGUUUACAUCAUGCACUGAUUAGAUGCAACUGGCAUCUCGAAACCAAUCUAUAUUAUGAUUUGACUCGAACUUGAUCUAAAUGUGAUGUUCAGACAUGACUUUCAAAGAUUUUAUAUUCAAGCAUUUCCAAGCACUAAAAGAGAAGUACUGAGAACAACAUUUAAGACAACAGUAGUUCUGGCAUCUCUAUGAUGUAUAAUGUCCUUGUAUAGAAGGAUUAGCAUAAUUUCAUGUUGAAACUAUGUCCUUCAUGUUGCAGCCAUUGGAGCUCUGAGAUAAAGAGCAGAAAGUAUACCAUGUGCUUACAGCUAUGAGGUACAUUCAUCUACAAAAAUGUUCAUAAAUGUAAAAUGCAUUUUAUAUGAUACAUUUUUUGUCCUUUGAGAAAAGCUAUAAAAAAGGCAUUUUAGCCAAUCAAAUUUCCUUGCCAUUCACAAAGCACAAUAUCAAUGGAAAACACCUAUUUUAACCAAUUUACCAAGGGAAUAUACUACCCAUAAAAGGAAUAAAAAAAGCAGCAAAUAUAACCAUUUUUAACAAUCUUUCAGUAUAAGGAAUAACAUUUUAACACAUGAACAAAAUAAAAACAAAUAAUUUUCCUGCACAAGCUAGAAAUCAAAUUUGUUGCCUAGGGGCAGAGACGGAAAUACCUGUGGAACGGUAUACCACAGGAUGGCCAGGUUUAUUUGUAAAAACAAAAGUGUUGUUUGUUCCCUGUCCAAAAUUCAAUGUCAACAUGCUUUUUAAUGAAAACACUGUAAAAAAGAAUUAGAGGUAAAUAUCUAAUCUAGCAGCACCUGAUAUUUCCUCUUGUUGGUUGGUCUUAGGGGUGCCUCAACCAAGCCACCAAAAACUGCACCUUUUCUGUCUCCGACAACCUGAAAGAAAAUUAGCACAAUCAAAGAAGCAGUUUUAUCUCUGACUGGAAACAACUAUGGACACGAUGAAACAUAAUAUCAGCAGUGCUAAGUUAAAAGACAACACUUGAGAGUAUACAUUAUACAGUUGCAGCUGACCCAGCAGCCACAGUAAACUGAUAAGUUAAAUAAGAAAUAAACCAUGAAUGACUCAAGAAAGAUAAAGUAAUUCAUUUGAAGUAAACAUAUAGACAUAUCGACAUAUCAGAAUCAUCUGAGAGACUUUGGUGUUUAUAUGGAAAUAAAAUAAUACUAAAUUGAAUAGAACAGACACCUCUAAAAAUUGACUUGUAACUGUAGUAGACAGAUGUCCAUAUUUUAUGACAUGUUGCUGAUACAAAUUUACCAAAUUGUUAUUUUGUUCAGAAAUCCUUAGAGCAGAUUUUCUUAUAAUAUCCUUGUACCUUAUCCAGCAGGUUUCAUAUCAGUGGGAUCUAUCCUGCCAUUUACCUUGGGAACCAAAGAUCACAAUAAAUUAUUGCGAAGUAACUGCAUGAUGAGAAUGUCCUCAGACAACAUGCAUAAUGGCAGCACAUACACACGAUGAUCCAUGCAUAUUCCAGAGAAUUAAAAUUUUUUAAUACAUCAAAUUAAAAUCAGCUAAAGAAAAUCAUGGUUUUCAAUUUGCACAAUAACCUCAAGAAAACAAUAUGAAAAAGCACCUGCAACCAAAAAAGAGUAAGGAAGAAAAAAGAUACUAAGAGACAUUACCGAGUAAGGAAAA
rnacentral:misc_RNA from 1 species